UACAGAGGUCCCAAGCGUUGUUCGGAUUCACUGGGCGUAAAGGGUGCGUAGGCGGCCCUGUAAGUCAGUGGUGAAAUGCGGCAGCUCAACUGUCGAGGUGCCAUUGAUACUGCAGGGCUUGAGUACAGACGAGGUAGGCGGAAUUGACGGAGUAGCGGUGAAAUGCUUAGAUAUCGUCAAGAACACCGAUAGCGAAGG
rnacentral:rRNA from 1 species